rnacentral:misc_RNA from 1 species
GAUGAAGAACGUAGCGAAAUGCGAUAAGUAAUGUGAAUUGCAGAAUUCAGUGAAUCAUCGAAUCUUUGAACGCACAUUGCGCCCGCCGGUAUUCCGGCGGGCAUGCCUGUUCGAGCGUCAUUUCAACCAUCAAGCCCUGGGCUUGUGUUGGGGACCUGCGGCUGCCGCAGGCCCUGAAAUGCAGUGGCGGGCUCGCAAGACACACCGAGCGUAGUAGCAUACAUCUCGCUCUGGGCGUGCUGCGGGUUCCGGCCGUUAAACCACCUUCAUAACCCAAGGUUGACCUCGGAUCAGGUAGGAAGACCCGCUGAACUUAAGCAUAUCAAUAAGCGGAGGA